rnacentral:rRNA from 1 species
AGUGAACGCUGGCGGUAGGCCUAACACAUGCAAGUCGAACGGCAGCACAGUAAGAGCUUGCUCUUACGGGUGGCGAGUGGCGGACGGGUGAGGAAUACAUCGGAAUCUACUUUUUCGUGGGGGAUAACGUAGGGAAACUUACGCUAAUACCGCAUACGACCUACGGGUGAAAGCAGGGGAUCUUCGGACCUUGCGCGAUUGAAUGAGCCGAUGUCGGAUUAGCUAGUUGGCGGGGUAAAGGCCCACCAAGGCGACGAUCCGUAGCUGGUCUGAGAGGAUGAUCAGCCACACUGGAACUGAGACAAGGUCCAGACUCCUAAGGGAGGCAGCAGUGGGGAAUAUUGGACAAUGGGCGCAAGCCUGAUCCAGCCAUGCCGCGUGGGUGAAGAAGGCCGUCGGGUUUUAAAGCGCUUUUGUUGGGAAAGAAAAGCAGCAGGUUAAUAUCCCGCUGUUCUGACGGUACCCAAAGAAUAAGCACCGGCUAACUUCGCG